rnacentral:rRNA from 1 species
CAGCGCCACAAGUUGUAUUCAGAUUUAUUGGGCCUAAAGCGUCCGUAGUUGGUUCAGUAUGUCUUUUGUGAAAUCGUUGGACUUAACCCAACGGAAUGCAAGAGAAACUGCUGUGACUUGGGACCGGGAGAUGUUAAGAGUAUUCUUUGGGGAGCGGUAAAAUGCUUUAAUCCUUAGAGGACUACCUGUGGCGAAGGCGCUUAACAAGAACGGAUCCGACAAUGAGGGACGAAAGCUAGGGGAGCAAACCGGAUUAGAUACCCGUGUAGUCC